UACGGAGGGUGCAAGCGUUAUCCGGAUUCACUGGGUUUAAAGGGUGUGUAGGCGGGCUGUUAAGUCAGUGGUGAAAUCUCCGGGCUCAACCCGGAAACUGCCAUUGAUACUAUCAGUCUUGAAUAUCGUUGAGGUGGGCAGAAUAUGUCAUGUAGCGGUGAAAUGCAUAGAUAUGACAUAGAAUACCGAUUGCGAAGGCAGCUUACUAACCGAUCAUUGACGCUGAGGCACGAAAGCGUGGGGAUCAAACAGG
rnacentral:rRNA from 1 species